CCUGUUCGAGCGUCAUUAUAACCACUCAAGCCUCGGCUUGGUAUUGGGGUUCGAGGUUUCUCGGCCCUUAAAACUAGUGGCGGUGCAUCUGGCUCUAAGCGUAGUAAUUUUCUCGCUAUAGGGUUCCGGUGGUUACUUGCCAAAAUCCCCCAUUUUUUAAGGUUGACCUCGGAUCAGGUAGGGAUACCCGCUGAACUUAA
rnacentral:misc_RNA from 1 species